CAGCCCUUGACAUCCCGGUCGCGGUCUCCAGAGAUGGAGACUUUCAGUUCGGCUGGACCGGUGACAGGUGCUGCAUGGCUGUCGUCAGCUCGUGUCGUGAGAUGUUGGGUUAAGUCCCGCAACGAGCGCAACCCUCGCCCUUAGUUGCCAGCAUUAAGUUGGGCACUCUAAGGGGACUGCCGGUGAUAAGCCGAGAGGAAGGUGGGGAUGACGUCAAGUCCUCAUGGCCCUUACGGGCUGGGCUACACACGUGCUACAAUGGUGGUGACAGUGGGCAGCGAGACCGCGAGGUCGAGCUAAUCUCCAAAAGCCAUCUCAGUUCGGAUUGCACUCUGCAACUCGAGUGCAUGAAGUUGGAAUCGCUAGUAAUCGCGGAUCAGCAUGCCGCGGUGAAUA
rnacentral:rRNA from 1 species